rnacentral:rRNA from 1 species
UGCGAAUGGCUCAUUAUAUAAGUUAUCGUUUAUUUGAUAGUACCUUACUACUUGGAUAACCGUGGUAAUUCUAGAGCUAAUACAUGCUAAAAAUCCCGACUUCGGAAGGGAUGUAUUUAUUAGAUUAAAAACCAAUGCCCUCUGGGCUCUCUGGUGAUUCAUGAUAACUUCUCGAAUCGCAUGGCCUUGCGCCGGCGAUGGUUCAUUCAAAUUUCUUCCCUAUCAACUUUCGAUGUUUGGGUAGUGGCCAAACAUGGUUGCAACGGGUAACGGAGGGUUAGGGCUCGACCCCGGAGAAGGAGCCUGAGAAACGGCUACUACAUCCAAGGAAGGCAGCAGGCGCGCAAAUUACCCAAUCCCGAUUCGGGGAGGUAGUGACAAUAAAUACUGAUACAGGGCUCUUUUGGGUCUUGUAAUUGGAAUGAGUACAAUUUAAAUCCCUUAACGAGGAACAAUUGGAGGGCAAGUCUGGUGCCAGCAGCCGCGGUAAUUCCAGCUCCAAUAGCGUAUAUUAAAGUUGUUGUGGUUAAAAAGCUCGUAGUUGAACCUUGGGCCUGGCUGGCCGGUCCGCCUCACCGCGUGUACUGGUCCGGCCGGGCCUUUCCCUCUGUGGAACCCCAUGCCCUUCACUGGGUGUGGCGGGGAAACAGGACUUUUACUUUGAAAAAAUUAGAGUGCUCCAGGCAGGCCUAUGCUCGAAUACAUUAGCAUGGAAUAAUGAAAUAGGACGUGCGGUUCUAUUUUGUUGGUUUCUAGGACCGCCGUAAUGAUUAAUAGGGACAGUCGGGGGCAUCAGUAUUCAAUUGUCAGAGGUGAAAUUCUUGGAUUUAUUGAAGACUAACUACUGCGAAAGCAUUUGCCAAGGAUGUUUUCAUUAAUCAGGAACGAAAGUUAGGGGAUCGAAGACGAUCAGAUACCGUCGUAGUCUUAACCAUAAACUAUGCCGACUAGGGAUCGGACGAUGUUAUUUUUUGACUCGUUCGGCACCUUACGAGAAAUCAAAGUG